rnacentral:rRNA from 1 species
CACGCCCUAAACGAUGUCUACUAGUUGUUGGUGGAGUAAAAUCCAUGAGUAACGCAGCUAACGCGUGAAGUAGACCGCCUGGGGAGUACGGUCGCAAGAUUAAAACUCAAAUGAAUUGACGGGGGCCCGCACAAGCGGUGGAUUAUGUGGAUUAAUUCGAUGCAACGCGAAAAACCUUACCUGGCCUUGACAUGUAACGAACUUUCCAGAGAUGGAUUGGUGCUCGAAAGAGAACGUUAACACAGGUGC